rnacentral:tRNA from 1 species
GGGCAGGUAGUUCAAUUGGAAGAACAACGGAUUGAAGAUCCGUGCGUUGUGGGUUCAAACCCCACCCUAGCCCA